AGAGAGAAUUGGCUGGCAGUGGAGCAUUCCUACUUACUGCUGGCUUUAUGACUUCAUGCUGCUUAAGCAUUAUGAUUCUGUGAUGGAUAGUCUAGUCCCCUCUGUCUCAUAAGAGGACACUGAAGAAGGUGCCUCCCCUGCCCGGGCCUGCCCAGAUACAGAGAUGUGGCUCACAAGCUAGCCUCCACAGUGUCAGCUCUGACCACUCAGGAAGCUUCUGAGUCCAUGUGCUUUUAUGAAUUUCUCCAACUGUAUUUUUCACUCUGAAUUACAGAUUUUCACGAGUGGUGUAUUCAAAGAGAUCUGAUGCCUUUCAGAUCAUGUUUUAAAACCUUCCACGUCUGGCGUUGGGAACGCAGCCGCGGCUUGGUGGUGGAUAGCAAGAGGCAAAGGAGAGGCCCAAAGAGAAGAUGCCAUCUGUUCAUGGCCAAGGAUGGAAAGGGCAGAGUUGAGAUUGGAACUCAAUUUCAGAGCCAAGAGUCUUCCACUCUGCCAUGCAAUACCUCUCCAAGUGAACCUGAGAAAGGUUCCAACUCAUUCUUUUCCUUUCAUCAACUUUCAGUUUGUUUGCAACUCAUCAUUUCUCUUGUGACCCAGAGAUGGUAAGGUAUCAAGAAGCUUUAGAAAGAAUAGUUUCCAAUACACAGCUAGGACCCAAAUAAGAAAAUCAGCAUUACACCACAGAAAAAUAACUGGACCCUGUGGCGGCCCUCUCGUAGAUACAUUAUAAUUCACCUUUGAAUGUAGGAAAAGAAACAGGAUGAGCCAUGUGCUAAGUGCAAAUAUUCUAGGGACUCCAGCUGUAAAGUAUCCUGGGAUAGAGUUGGAAUUCAUUAAAAAAUUUCUAUCCAAUGGUCUAAGUAGAUAUCUAGUAGAUAUGAAACAGGCAAGUCUAUAUCACCAGCAGAUAUGCUAAAGCAAAUGUAAAUUUGAAAGGCACUAAAAGCAGAAGUGACUCCAAAGCAAUCAGCUGGACAUGAUAGAACUGGUGGGCCUCACCUUUGGGUGACUGCUCUGGGCACUAUAGUUCUAGCCCUGGAACCAAGACCAUCCCUGACCCAGCAUGCUGAGAUGCUGACCAGAUAGCUGUGGUUAUUAUCCGCACCAACCCAUAUUUCUGCGCUGAGGAUGUGCAUUUACAAAAACACAGUCUUGGAUCUUGAAGGUAAGCUGUUAGACUGACAUUGUUGCCCCAUUUUAGAGAUGAGGAAAUAGCUUGAGGAGGCCAGUUAAAAUGCAGUUAGUUGUAGACAAAGAGAACAAACAUGUAACACAAAGCAUUUAGGAAAAAUACUUAGAAGGCCCUUUAUUAUGCAUUUUGCUUGGGGAUUGUCUUCCUUUUCACUUUGGCCAUGCAAUUAUUGACUCACUGUGGAAUGAUUUGUUGCUCAUGACAGAGGCAGAGAUGUUCACCAAACAUUUCCUUCUAUUCUCCAAAAUUGCUUAGAUCUCUUAGAAAGGGAAGUGAUGUCUUACUCUGUUCAAAGAGAUGCUCCCAGGGCCAUUGUGUGGCGAACCAUGGCUCUUUUUCACUUCCUCUGCCCAGGCAAUCACAGAGGCCUUGCAGUGAGAUGCAGGAGCUACACGAUCGGUACAACCUGGCCAUUGGGACCCAGAGAAUGUAGGACAGACAGCUGCCCUUGUGAGUUUGGUUUCUUGGGAGCAAGAGAGUAACAUUUGCUCUGUCAAACUGCUACAAUUUUGCAGUUGUUUGUGACAGCAGAGUAAGCCUAACUUCUCCUGACUCACACACUUCGUUAAACCCUUGCUUUGGCAACUCCUAUGCUCUUGCCAGGGUCUAGAAGUAGCAACUCUAUUCCCUUCUUCCUCUGCCUUUUUGGCUUCCCAUCUUCUUUGGUUUAGCUUGGUGAUGACUGACUCUCCAUAAAGCCAUUUGUGAUCUUUGUAUUAGAGACACAGUAUAAAAAUGAAUUGUAUUGUUUUUGUAGAUGUCACUGUUGGCUCCUCCUUGCUGAAAUUGACUGUAACAAGUGGUUAGAUUUUCCACAGGAGGGUAAUUCACAUUUAUUUGAGCUGCCACCAACUCCUUAUUUAGUUUGCAUAAACUAGCCAGGACAGGAGAGGAAUCUCCCUGGACCCUGUUUAUCUUGUAAAAGUGGAGCUUGUUCAGGAGGGUGGAUCACUCCUCACAUGGACUUCCCUCCAUCCCUUUUAGCGAUGAAUAAUCAGUCAUCAGGACAGGGGAUUAAAAAAUAGAUUUAUUGCUAUUUCUACAAGUCAGAACUAGAGAUGAGUAAACACAACAACAGAUGUAUAAGAACAUAAGUAGAAACACUAUUUUACAAUAACAUGUACUGAAACACAUUUAUGUACUGGAAACUAUGAAAAAUAGCUCUCUUUAAAUGAUUUAACAUUUGCUCUCUCUUAUAUAUACCGUUGAGUUUCCAGUGGGAGAACAAAGAUACUCAUAGCUCUCUUGGCUCUCAUGAAAACCCUUUUUCAAAAUUUUCUGGAAUGCUCUAUGAAGUGGUUUGUGGUUUAGGAGGAAAUAGGGGCUGUGUGCAGUGUACCUGUGUACUGUUCCAUCAUCCCCUCUUCCCACAGAUGGGGGGCGGUCAUUCCUGGGGCUCAGGAAACCCCAAGCCAGAGAAAGCAAGGAAGGCAUCUGGAGCACUGUCCAGUAAUGAUGUUCCUUCCUGGAGGAAGAGGGGAGCUGGACUUCUCAACAGGACACCUGCCUUUGUGUCCAUGGUUACCCUCCAUUCCUGUGGGAACAGGGCUGCAAAGCAUCAGUUGGAGAAAAGCCUAUUUCACAGCUUUGGUCCUUUUCAAAGCCCUCCUCAGUCAGUCUGUGUUGGGCUGAACCAAUAACAUGGAAAAAGGUUUGAAUUAAUGGCACUAGUUCCUCAGUCACACCUAGACAUACUUCCUAGCCCUUGAAAGGGGGUGAUUUUGGCAGUGUCUUAAAAACCAUACUGGUCAGCAGGAUUUUGCCUUGGAGUUUUGAGGACCCUAAAAACCAGGGUGGCCUAAAGAUGGCAGAGUGAACCUCUAGAGUGACACUGUGGCCCAGCAUUUGUGACAGUUCCAGCAUCACAGCAGCAUAGAAAUGAGAAGCCAGCUGACCAGUCCAGGCUGGUCCACACACUGGGAGUGAAUGUCUUUUCCUGGAAUUGCCCUUUUGGUAAUGACCUCGGCUGCUUGUUUUGUGUCUGAAUGGGUGUGUAGUCUUCUUUAAUCUUGUCCAGCCUAGUGACUGGGGAAAGAGAAGAGAAUAGUGAGAUUUCGAAUGGGGGAAGGACUGAAGACUCAGCUUCCAGAUACCUUUGAUACAUACAAACCUGUCUUUCACCUUCUUUCCUGGGCAUGGCUUGGAUACUGAAGGUCUGGGUUUUACAACCUUUUCCUCCAAUCUUUUUUGCAAUUAGCCAAAGUUUAGUAAUCUGAGUAGAACUCACGUAUGAUCAGAAAAUUGCCCUCAGUAAAAUAAGGGCAAAAUUUUCAGGAUUUGGAAGGGAGAAGUAGAAUGUGUGGUUUGUAGUUUUGGUUUUGUGUAUACCACGUGUGUACAAACACUUGUGUAUGUGUGCAUGUGUGUGUACGCAGGCCUACAAGUGUCUGAGUAUAAUGGCCUGAUUUGGAAAUCUGUCACAGAAAAAUACGAUCACAUAGGUGUGCACUUGUUUUUGCAGAUGUUGAAUCUCUGCUUCCAGGAUUACUGAGCUGGCUCUAUCUUUUUCUCUUUGCAUUGGCUUUGAGCAACCUCCAUACUAAUGCAAUAUUAAGGACCGCAUAAUUAGCCACCUUAAUAAAUUUUUCCAAGAUGAAUAGGCAAUGUUUGGCUUUCUUCAGAAGAAAACAUUCCCCUAAUAGCAUUCUGUGGGAAGCUUUGGAGAGAACAAUGAACAGAAAUAUAACAGAAAUAUAUUAAGAUAUAUGUGCAUAUAUUGGACAUUAGCACCAUACACUAAGCAUAUUGGGAAUUUGCUUCAAAAUAUUUCAAACAUUGUUGACCUUUGUUAUAUAAUCCUGGGCUCCGGGAAACAUAUUUGCAUAGACUUAGCAAUAUAUUGUAAAUAACUACAUAGGACAGUGUAUAUUUUUCCUUAAGAUGCAGUAUUAUAAGCAAGACAUUAAAUUAUGCCUAUCAGACAAAGCAGCCAGAUCUCCACAUUUUUUUAUAGCACAUUCUAUUGGGAAGACAUCCCUGCUUCUAAAAAGCACAUGCAUUAACUGCCUGAUUCAUGUGGUGACAUGUGGCAUAUCCAAAUGUGUUAUGGAUCUCUCAGGAAUAAAAACAACAUAGCAAAACCGUCACCUUGGGAUGUUCAUUGAGUGAAUAUUUUACAGACA